ensembl:lncRNA
AGUGAUUAUGAUGAUGAUUAGCAAGAUAUCCUGGUAGUAAGUAAGCAGGAAAAAAAGAAGUCAGUGUUUUCUGUGCCAAACAAGGGUGUGCCCAGUUUCAGUCAGGUUCACCAACUGGGUGAAUGACAGGGAGCUGCCUAGAAAAAACUUCAGAUCUGCUUCACCACUCAGGAACAGUCAGAGGUAUUUGUCUCCCCCUCUAGCAUGUGAGCUUCAAUGAAGGCAGAGACCUUGUCUCCUAUCUUCCUUGAUACAGUACAGCCCCUGCCCUCCGCACAGUGACUGACACACACAGGGAAAGUUGAGGCAUAACUUGACAAGCUGACAAGCCUCAGAAGUGGCUGAGCAGAGACUGCAGCAGGUGAUCCUGGGCCUUGUGUCAGAGCAAAAUACCUCGCUACCAUCCUGCUCCCCAGCCAGACACAGUGCCCCAGAGGCUUCUGAUCCCAAGCCCAGGGUCUAGCUGACCCACUCCCACCCUCCUGCUUCAUGAAUUCACAUUUAGACCACAAAUUUCCCUCCAGUGCCUCAUUCUCUGAUGAGUGGGAUGCUCUAAUGCUUAAGUAACCACAGGCUACAGAGUCAGAUGUACAUAGGUUCAAAUCCCAACUCAGCCACUUUCAAACUUAGCAGCGAAGGAUAAGUGAUGUUACCUUUCUCAGCCUCAAUCACCCCAUCUGCCAAAAGGACCUAAUGAUGUCUCACCCUGGAAAUGGCUAUGGGG